GGGGACAUUAAAUGGUGUGGUUUUUGUUGGCACUGAGGCAUGUGCUCUCACGAUGCUGUGUACGUGUUUGUUACGGAGGCCGAGUCAUGUGACCUCCUGUGUAGCUGUCCUGGAUGCUGUUGUAGACGUUGUUGAUUCCCAAAUGAUGGAUUCAUGAGGUUGGAUGGAUGGACCUGCUGGGUGUGGCCGUCUGUCCAGAACUAGGAUGAAGCCUGUGGUCCGGGCCUUGCUUCAAACGAGCCAGCUCUGCCUCUUUGUGGAAUGCUCUUCAUUUCUUCUUCUACUUGUCGUCCCUCAAAUUUCUCUCUCCUGACUCUUUCCUUCCUACCUUUCUUUCUUUCUUUCUUUCUGUAACCUCCCCACCCAUCCCUUAAGUAACACUUUUUUUUGUGAUGGUUUUCUAGCUGGUUCCCUUCUUUUGCUCAGCUGUUGUGCAGUGAUGCAUGAUGGGAUAUGGAAGUACAGACUUUUUGCCUCAACACAAUUUUAUUCUGUGGACCAAUUCCAGCAGGGGUGGGUGGGUGGGGGAGGGGGGUGGGAGGGAGGGAAGGAGAAGGGGAGAGUGUUGAUUUGUUUUUAUUUGACUUUUAAGAUCAUGUGACACAAACGUGCUGGAGACGCAGAGUAGUGACAUCUCUGACUUUGUCACCCAUGACGACCGGAUGGUGCUCCAGGGGGGGCGGGGGAGGGGCACGGGGGCUGUUGCACUCAUUUUGAUGGUUUGGAUUUCUCUCAGGAUGACGGACAGCUGGAGGGGCCCAAUGACAGAAUGUGUUUGGCCGUCAUUGGCCACCCUUUCUCCAGUCAGAUAGAUGAACUAAGGUGGUGUGGGCGGGACAUUAAGGAACAGCUCACUCAACAUACAUUAUUUUACCAACAACAUGACUGUUGUUGAUUCCUCCAGACAGUUUUUAGCUCGGUUACUUGGGCACUUCCUUGUAAGCUUAAUGACAAUUCCUUUUAUUUUACAUUGUUACACAGCAUAACUAAGUAAUGCCAGAGAAAACUGUCUUUGGGGGAAACAAGGAUGUCAGGAUAAGGGUAAAAGAGUGAACUAUGCCUUUUAAAGUGUUUUUGUUUUGUGUGGGGUGGGGUAAACAUUAGGGAUGCUGUGUGGGGUGAGUAUGUGUUGCUCCCAGUCACAGAUGGAAGACCAGGAUACCUUGGUUAUUCCGAUGCUGUACCACCAGGAAGGAAAGCGUCAAACUGACCACAGGUCAGCGUUUAAAGGGCAACUGUCUCUGACACCUGCUUGGGAGCUGGCUUUGUUAGAAUCAUGAACUAUUUCCUCUUUGUAAUGAAAUGAUCAGAUAACAAACUUAUUUUGGUCAAUGUGGUGCUUAGACUACCUUACACACACACACACACACACACACCUGUUUCCCUAGCCCACACACUCAAGGCUCAUGCCUACACCCUUCAUCCUAUCUCCCACACAUGCAUAAUCGCACACACACUCCAGUAAUAUUAGUUAUUCCUGUGCCAGGCCCACACACCUUCAAUCACCAUCUUAGUAUGUUUUAUGCCCCUCUUGUGUCCAUUGUCUCAAAUUUUGCAAUAUUUGUGUGUACAGCAGUAUUUUAAUAAAGAAUACCAAACCUGAA